UGGAGAGUUUGAUCCUGGCUCAGGACGAACGCUGGCGGCGUGCCUAAUACAUGCAAGUCGAGCGCAGGAAGUCAUCCGAACCCUUCGGGGGGACGUUGACGGAAUGAGCGGCGGACGGGUGAGUAACACGUAAAGAACCUGCCCUCAGGUCUGGGAUAACCACGAGAAAUCGGGGCUAAUACCGGAUGGGUCAUCGGACCGCAUGGUCCGAGGAUGAAAGGCGCUYCGGCGUCGCCUGGGGAUGGCUUUGCGGUGCAUUAGCUAGUUGGUGGGGUAACGGCCCACCAAGGCGACGAUGCAUAGCCGACCUGAGAGGGUGAUCGGCCACACUGGGACUGAGACACGGCCCAGACUCCUACGGGAGGCAGCAGUAGGGAAUCUUCCACAAUGGACGAAAGUCUGAUGGAGCAACGCCGCGUGAACGAUGAAGGCCCUCGGGUCGUAAAGUUCUGUUGUAAGGGAAGAACAAGUGCCGCAGGCAAUGGCGGCACCUUGACGGUACCUUACGAGAAAGCCACGGCUAACUACGUGCCAGCAGCCGCGGUA
rnacentral:rRNA from 1 species